CCUACGGGAGGCAGCAGUGGGGAAUAUUGCACAAUGGGGGAAACCCUGAUGCAGCGACGCCGCGUGAGUGAAGAAGGCUUUCGGCUCGUAAAGCUCUAUCCGCAGGGAAGAAAAUGACGGUACUUGACCAAGAAGCCCCGGCUAACUACGUGCCAGCAGCCGCGGUAAUACGUAGGGGGCAAGCGUUAUCCGGAUUUACUGGGGGUAAAGGGUGCGUAGGCGGCAUUGCAAGGCCGGAGUGAAAGGCCAGGGCUUAACCAGGGGACUGCCUUUGAAACUGGGUAGCUGGAGUGCAGGAGAGGAAAGCGGAAUUCCUAGGGUAGCGGUGAAAUGCGUAGAUAUUAGGAGGAACACCAGUGGCGAAGGCGGCUCUCUGGACUGUAACUGACGCUGAGGCUCGAAAGCGUGGGGAGCAAACAGGAUUAGAUACCCCAGUAGUC
rnacentral:rRNA from 1 species